CUCCCAUGAUGAGGACAGGCGGCCACAUAUUCUUGAAGUCGUUCCCACGCCUCAGGAAUAGACUCGUCCCUUGUCUGCUAGAAACAUGAAAUUCUCCCACGAAGGGC
rnacentral:snoRNA from 1 species